rnacentral:rRNA from 1 species
CAGCGCCACAAGUAGGGACCAGCUUUAUUGGGCUUAAAGCGUUCGUAGUCGGUUUGGUAAAUCCUUUGUGAAAUUGUUAGGCUCAACCUAACGGCGUGCAGAGGACACUACCUGACUAGAGACCGGGAGGAGUUAGAAGUAUUCUUGGGGUAGCGGUAAAAUGCUAUAAUCCCAGGAGGACUACCAGUAGCGAAGGCGUCUAACUAGAACGGGUCUGACGAUGAGGGACGAAAGCCAGGGGAGCGAACCGGAUUAGAUACCCGAGUAGUCC